UACAGAGGGGGGCAAGCGUUGUUCGGAAUUACUGGGCGUAAAGGGCGCGUAGGCGGCCUUCUAAGUCGAACGUGAAAUCCCCCGGGCUCCGAACCCGGGAACUGCGUCCGAUACUGGAUGGCUUGAGUGCGGGAGAGGGAUGUGGAAUUCCAGGUGUAGCGGUGAAAUGCGUAGAUAUCUGGAGGAACACCGGUGGCGAAGGCGGCAUCCUGGACCGACACUGACGCUGAUGCGCGAAAAGCCAGGGG
rnacentral:rRNA from 1 species